rnacentral:rRNA from 1 species
AACGAACGCUGGCGGCAGGCUUAACACAUGCAAGUCGAACGCACCUUUCGGAGUGAGUGGCCGACGGGUGAGUAACGCGUGGGAAUCUACCCUUCUCUACGGGAUAGCUCCGGGAAACUGGAAUUAAUACCGUAUACGUCCUGAGGGAGAAAGAUUUAUCGGGGAAGGAUGAGCCCGCGUUGGAUUAGCUAGUUGGUGGGGUAAAGGCCUACCAAGGCGACGAUCCAUAGCUGGUCUAAGAGGAUGAUCAGCCACAUUGGGACUGAGACACGGCCCAGACUCCUACGGGAGGCAGCAGUGGGGAAUAGUGGACAAUGGGCGCAAGCCUGAUCCAGCCAUGCCGCGUGAGUGAUGAAGGCCCUAGGGUUGUAAAGCUCUUUCAGUGGGGACGAUAAUGACGGUACCCACAGAAGAAGCCCCGGCUAACUUCGUG